UACGUAGGGGGCAAGCGUUGUCCGGAAUCAUUGGGCGUAAAGCGCGUGUAGGCGGCCCGGUAAGUCCGCUGUGAAAGUCCAGGGCUCAACCCUGGAAUGCCGGUGGAUACUGUCGGGCUCGAGUCCGGAAGAGGCGAGUGGAAUUCCCGGUGUAGAGGUGAAAUUCGUAGAUAUCGGGAGGAACACCGGUGGCGAAGGCGGCGACCUGGGUAGAUACUGACGCUGAGGUGCGAAAGCGUGGGGAGCAAACAGG
rnacentral:rRNA from 1 species